AAAUAUAAAUAUUUUGGAAAAUAAAUUUAUUUUAACAAAUCACACAAGUUCGGAGUUAAAAUUUACAAAUAAUGCACUCCAGAAGGAUAUAAAUAUAAUUCAAUAAUUUAUUCCGGAAAAGGUGAAAAUGGCCCUGAAAAAAAUCAUAGUAAAGCCACCGUACUGAAACUAAUUCAAGGACUGGAAAACAAAUGCCGUGUAGUAAUUGCUGAUAAUUUUUAUUCUUCAAUAGAAUUGGCUGAACAACUUCUAUCUCUCAAAACCCGUUAUUGCGGUACCCUAAGAUCAAAUCGAAGAGGGCUACCUAAGAAUAUAGUGUCACUUAAAUUGAAAAAGGGUGAAAUCAGAGGAUCUAUGAACAAAAAUGGCGUUAAAGUUAUGAAAUGGGUUGACAAAAGGCAACUUCUGAUGCUAUCUACUCUCAAAGAGGACAAAGAUGAGCUUGUCAAUACAGGCAGAAAAAAUAGGAAGACAUACGAAGAUAUAAAAAAGCCUACAUGUGUCUUAACAUAUAAUAACAAAAUAAAAGAUGUUGACUUCAGCGACCAAAUGUCUGCAUAUUAUUUAUUCUAUAUUAAAAAGAGGGCUCAAAUGGUUCAGAAAAGUGGGUAUGGAAUAUUUGUUUGGCAUGGCGUUGGUAAACGCUUGGAUUAUAUACAACAUGAAAAAUGAGAAGAAGGUUUCAAAGAAAGAAUUUACAGAAGCAUUAAUACAAUUAAUUACUGGAAAAAAUAUAUGCCCUGAUAGUAAGUAUAACGACGUGCAACAUAACUGUAACCAUCUUUAGACCUAUGUUGAAGGUGAUUCCUUCUGUUUCGUGUUGACGACGUUCUACCUCUGCAACAGGAAAUCAAGUAACACCUACGGCCGAUCAUAUCCUUGAGAUGAGCGGUAAAUGGCGAAAUUGUGUAGGGUGCUAUGAAAAACUGCGGGAAACCAUGAAGAGUUCCGAGGUGAAAAAGAAAGUAAAAAAAAUUAAAACAUACUGAUGUGCAAGCAAAAUCUUUGUGCGAAAUGUUUUAAAGACAGCCAUUAAUAAAUAAUUAAAUAAACAAUUUUUAUUUCUUUA